rnacentral:snRNA from 15 species
GUUUGGACGAGGCACCGGGUUCAGAGUGAUCAAGAAUGCUUUGACUCCGGGUGAAGGAUCACCACCGGACCUCAGGGGGCUGAAAUUCGCGACGGACCCAAAUCGGGUGCUGUCAGAUGUUUAGUUUUUGGCAGUGGGGAGACCUAACGGUUCUCCN